rnacentral:rRNA from 1 species
AUUGAACGCUGGCGGCAUGCUUUACACAUGCAAGUCGAACGGUAACAGGGUGCUUGCACCGCUGACGAGUGGCGAACGGGUGAGUAAUGCGUCGGAACGUGCCGAGUAGUGGGGGAUAACGCAGCGAAAGUUGUGCUAAUACCGCAUACGUACUGAGGUAGAAAGUGGGGGACCUUCGGGCCUCACGCUAUUCGAGCGGCCGACGUCUGAUUAGCUAGUAGGUGAGGUAAAGGCUCACCUAGGCGACGAUCAGUAGCGGGUCUGAGAGGAUGAUCCGCCAGACUGGGGCUGAGACACGGCCCAGACUCCUACGGGAGGCAGCAGUGGGGAAUUUUGGACAACGGGCGAAAGCCUGAUCCAGCCAUGCCGCGUGUCUGAAGAAGGCCUUCGGGUUGUAAAGGACUUUUGUCAGGGAGGAAAUCCCUAGCGCUAAUACCGCUGGGGGAUGACAGUACCUGAAGAAUAAGCACCGGCUAACUACGUGCCAGCCGCCGCCGUAAAAC